rnacentral:rRNA from 1 species
GACGAACGCUGGCGGCGUGCCUAAUACAUGCAAGUCGAGCGAGCUUGCCUAGAUGAUUUUAGUGCUUGCACUAAAUGAAACUAGAUACAAGCGAGCGGCGGACGGGUGAGUAACACGUGGGUAACCUGCCCAAGAGACUGGGAUAACACCUGGAAACAGCUGCUAAUACCGCAUAAUGCAACGAAAUCGCAUGACUUUGUUGCCAAAGAUUUAUCGCUCUGAGAUGGCCUCGCGUCUGAUUAGCUAGUUGGCGGGGUAACGGCCCACCAAGGCGACGAUCAGUAGCCGGACUGAGAGGUUGGCCGGCCACAUUGGGACUGAGACACGGCCCAG